ensembl:lncRNA
ACAAUCAAGCUGUGUACCAAGCUGUGUCAUCACACGCAUUCCCAGGCUGUGCACCAUAGAUUUCAACAGUGAACUUUUCAGCUUUCUAUUAUAUAAAUAUGUUACAGAAGAGAGAGUACCCUUGAGACCUGUGAACUGCUCAGCGAUUACUUCUUUUCAUUUUCAGACUUGAGUGUGUGCCUACAUCUGCUUUGCCCUCCGAUGCUGCAUCCACCACCAUGCUUUACUGCUUUCUUCUCCCUGGCAUUUUAUUAAGAAACUUUUCUGAGAGUACACUGGAUCUUCCAAUUUGUUUAGCUGUCAUCACAUCACCAUGCCUGACUGCUCUGCUGAAUUCUUACAGAAUUCUGAGGUCAAAUAAUAACCAGUGCAUGAGGGCUGCCUGCUACCCAGCAGAAGGGAGCCCCAGGAACCAGACGCAGUGCCCAGCCUGCUAUGUACUAGCAGGGCCACAGCCGACAUCUUGCAGCGUCAGCAAGGCUGGCAGAGGGCACUGGGGCUGGCUGGGAUUCCAAGCCAUGGGCCGGGGGAAAUGCUGCUAAGGGCCAUGGAGAUUGCUGGAUGCUCUUCAGAACCCUUCUCAGUAUCUGUCAUGGUCUAUAGGAGAUUCUGCAACUUUCAAGUGAAUAGAAUUACUUUACUAUUCUCAAUAACAUUUUUCAGAUCUGUGAACAGACUCAACCUGAGCAGCUUAGAAGACAAUUUUUCCUCUCAACAAAUGAAAGAAACAAGAGAACCUGAAGCAGUGUUCAAUUGUUGUUCAAAAUAUUUCACAUGGAGAUGAGCCUAUUCACUCAUUAUAUGACUAUUCAGUGAAGGCACCGAUGUAAUACAUAUUUUGAAAUGUCAGUGUCAGCAGUGCUUCCUGUUUUCUCCUGUGAGUACUUGAUUUAAAACACACAGUCUUGAUCACAAUCAUUUUUAAAUUAC